GAUGGACGCUGGCGGCGUGCCUAAUACAUGCAAGUCGAGCGAACGGACGAGAAGCUUGCUUCUCUGAUGUUAGCGGCGGACGGGUGAGUAACACGUGGAUAACCUACCUAUAAGACUGGGAUAACUUCGGGAAACCGGAGCUAAUACCGGAUAAUAUUUUGAACCGCAUGGUUCAAAAGUAAAAGACGGUCUUGCUGUCACUUAUAGAUGGAUCCGCGCUGCAUUAGCUAGUUGGUAAGGUAACGGCUUACCAAGGCAACGAUGCAUAGCCGACCUGAGAGGGUGAUCGGCCACACUGGAACUGAGACACGGUCCAGACUCCUACGGGAGGCAGCAGUAGGGAAUCUUCCGCAAUGGGCGAAAGCCUGACGGAGCAACGCCGCGUGAGUGAUGAAGGUCUUCGGAUCGUAAAACUCUGUUAUUAGGGAAGAACAUAUGUGCAAGUAACUGUGCACAUCUUGACGGUACCUAAUCAGAAAGCCACGGCUAACUACGUG
rnacentral:rRNA from 1 species